rnacentral:lncRNA from 1 species
UUUUCGGACGGUACAAACCAGAGCUGACUCAAUGCUUAUCCACUACUUGCAAGUUUGGAAAAUGAUACUGAUGAUUACCCGUUUCCUCCAUAGAAUGGGAAUGGAAUAAGUUAGCUUUUCUUUCGAGAGGCCCUCGUAAACAUCUCUCUAAUGUUGUGUGAUUCUGUCUCCAAUUUUACUUUCUUCGCUUGUCUACCUUUCUUUGCAAUUGUACCCUUCUUAUCUUGCUGUUGUUCCUGAUAAUUAGUAGUACACAAAUUAAUUCAAAACGAAUAACAAAUCCAGACUCAUUCUUUUUCCGUCCCAACAAAUACCUGUAAUUCGUUACAUAAACCUGAGUUACUUCCUUCAACAUUUACUUCUACUUUUCCAAUAACCUCGAGUAUAUUUAACCUGCAAAACAAAAAUCUUCUUAAGGAAUAUAUCUUAAGAAUCCUAUUUCAACCCCCUCAAUGGUUUCUCUUCCAAGUUAUCACCACAAGGAAUAUACAGGUAAAAUCUUUAAAACAAGACAUUAUAAAAGGCUAUACUUAAGAUGGUUACACAAAAGCUCCAACCAAGGCUUUUCCUUGAAAUACUCUCCUAAUAUAGAGACUGCAUCAAUCACUGCAUCACACAAGAGCGUUAAUGCACAACAAAACAUUGAAACAAAAAGACAAGGUAUGCAUGAUUUAAAGUAUUAAGAAAAGCAUCAGAUUAUUAUCAAGGAUGGUAUUGUUGCUUCAGUUAUUUAAAUAAAAGAUUACAAUGAAGCAUCAACAUAGAUGUGUAUUUUGCUCAUGCAACAAUCCAGAAUGACAGAACUGUAUUCUUAAUUGGUAAUCCCUCAAAUAAGAGGGGAGAACAGUAACCAUUAGUAUGUUUUCAGAUAAUAAGAAUAUAGAUAGCCUAUUAACAAAAAGGAUAAAUUCAACUAUCCUAUUUCUAUCUCCCAGGUUUAACCAACAACACAACAUGCAAUUAUUCGUUUCAAUGCAUUAUAGAUUAUAGUAUAUCUUUCCUCAAAUAUUUUAGCCUUUACAUAAAAUAAAAAAUGUUAGUUUCUACAAGUUGUCAUUGUAUCCCUCAUCACUGUCGCCCAUGUGUACAGACACAAUACAAUCAGAGCCGUGAUAAAUCUCCAAAGUAUUGCCAUAUUAAAAUGCCUCCAUUUUCCAUAUAAAAUGCAUUUAUAUCUUUUUUUUCCGAAAGAUAAACAUUUUACGAAGUAUUUAACCUCAGCAGAAUAAAAUUAUCCAACAGAACACAAAAUGAUAAUAAACACUUUACAUGUGUCUUUCUCUGAUUGAACAGCAUAGUUUUUGUCCAAAUUGGGUAGUGUCUGUUUUAGCUGACAAACCUAAAAUAAGACAAACCAAAUUAACAAACUUCUGAUACAGGUAAAAGGUUUUCUAGCAUUUAAAUCAAAGAUGGUCAAACAUCAGCCAAAGAAAAGUAGAUGUUUGAAAGCAAACUAUAAGCAAUUUAACUAUUUCCUAUAUUGCUUAAUAGGUGGAUACAUGUAUCAGCAAUCAAAUAUGAAAUCGACAAGACAUGUUUCAGUGUUGGUUACAUUUUCGCAAAAACACAUCAUGAAGUUCGGGCAUUCAUAACCAAAUAUCAUACCUCCAUAAUAGUUAAUGGAGGAUUGGUUUUGCUGCGCAAAUACCAUAUCAAGCCUAUACUAGUUUUUUUUCCCUGAAAGAGGGAGAAGAUUUAACAUCAUAUAAACCAAAUGACAGUUAAAGAAAUAUAGACAAACCUUAUAGCACAUCCAACGUAGAACUUUUGAGUCAUCAAGUCUGAAGAAUUUUGAGGAUCCAACUUCUGCAUAAGCAUGACGUUACAAGACCAUGAGAAUUAAAAACAAGAAAAUGAUUAACAAUGAGUUCACCACACUUUUCUAUCAUCAACAUUAUAAAAAACAUAAAGUCAACAACAAACUUCUCAAUUUCUUUCCAAGAUGCUGCCCAAUAAUGACUUAGAUCAUAAGAAAACAUGGCAAACUUUCAAACUGAAGUUGUAAAUAGAAAGAGUACAAGAAUAUAGUCACCUUUGACUUCAGAAACAACUUGCAUACAGUUCUCCACAACAGACAUUAACUGCAUAUAUCCUGGAUAGCCAUCAAUAAAUAAUAUCUCAUCUAAUUGCCUGAACCUCCCAAGAUCAUCCCCUUUCUGCUUGCAUUUCAAAGAAACCAGUGACGUUCAGAGAUGUAGUUUUUCAGGGUCAAAAUACAAUGUAGACCUAAUUAAUCCAUUCACAAAACUAAAUGGUAGGAGUUCUGCGGACCACACAAACGAGGGAUUUCAUGGACUUUGUGUGUAGAGGUUUCUCUGAGGAUAUAAACCUAUAGUUAUUAGAUUGGGUGGGUUCUAUACUUAAGGUGUCAUGUGAGAAAUUAAAACUUUUGUUCUGUUUAAUAGUUGGCCAAGGAUACAUAAAUGGAAAAGACUUCAGAAAUAAGAAAUUUCUUCCAAUUGCCAUGGUUCAAAAGAAAUAUAAAACUUAUUACCUUCAUUCUAGCUUCCUCAAAUAUAGGCAACAUGAUGAAAACAGGAUCAAUUGGUGUGGAUAAAUACAACCGACCAUCUGUUGGGAAACAAAAACAAUAACGAUGAAAAAUUCUGCUUAAAAGUGCUGCUUAGUUUCUCCAUGAAUGAAAGACCUAGAGAGUAGAGACUACUGACAUGACAAGAGCAAACACAAUGCUUUCAAUCUGACAAAAGAACAAGAGAUUUUCAAAAAAAAAUUAAGUGUUGGUAAGAAGUACAAGAACAUGGCAUAGGCAGAGCAGGAACGGAAGUAUUAUUUUUUUAAGUAUAAGUAAAAAAGAUUUCCAGACAAGAGAUAAAUGAGAGAAAGAAAUGUACCUCACGCAAUAUAAACAUGAAUAACAAUGCAAAAUGCAUACUUUACAAGAUAAUCAAACAUCUCUACCUUCAGUUAUAUAAUCUCCCAAAAACCAAGAUCCAUACAAGUUCUUAAACCACUGAAGUUCUUGAAGCAUUCCAUUUGCAAACAGAUACUGUGUUGCAUUUCCUGUCAAAGAAGCGGAAAUAUGUAAAAACUGAAAGAAAACGCAAGAUCAAGAAGCCUGAAUAAAAGGCUAAUUCCUUGAGAAAGAUUGAUAGCAAAAUUGAGUGUGAUACGAUGUUAUUAACUGAAUAAACAAAUUUUAAUCAACACAUUAAGAAAUUGAGAUAGAAAAAUCAAAUAAAUAAUAUUUAUAUAAACAAGCAACAAAACACUAUGAGAAGUACAUAAAAUAAUGGACAUCCUUCAAAUUACCAGACUUGGGAUGGCGGAGCGAUAUCAUCUGUCCCAGACCAUUUCCACAGGUUCCAGGAUCUGCACUUGAGUAAUAAAUAAUUAAAUAAAAUGCAUUAACAACUGAUUGUAAAGUAAUGCAAAAAAAAAAUAUUAAGAAAAUAAAAAUAUCUUCAACGGCACAUAACAAUGAGAAAUUGGUCGCAAAAUAAGAAUAUAAAUCGAAAUAAAUGAUCGGAAGCUAAAUAUUACCAGUCAUCGGAAACCAAAAAACAGAAGCAUUUUUCUAUUAAAAUUAAUUUUGGUAUUGUUUUUCUGUUCGUAUAUUUUGUCUAUUAGAAGUGACUAUAACUUUAUAGAUGGAAAUAAAGAAGAACAGAAAUAUCAAGAACAGAUGAGAUGUAAAUUUACCAGGUGCGAUGAGAACCCGUGGUUCCUGAACCCCAUCACACCAACUCAUUGGUUUAGCAGAAGAGGAUUCAAAAGCCCUAACACCACCAGUCACCGAUCGUUCCCUUCGCCGGUAACGGUAACUGCAAUUCUAACGGAAUAAUGUUAAUGUCACAAGUGAAUUGCAAUGUAGAAAGAACAAGAACACAGUAAAACUUACAUAUUUAGAGUAAAGAGAGCUUUAACAGGGAAGGUAACGAGGGAGGAGUUAGAGUGGCGCUGAAUCGCCAAAUGAAGUGCUCCUGGGAAUCUGAAGCUCAAACAUAUUCGCGCCAUUAAAAUCACCCUUCUGCUUUUUUCCCUUCUCGGACACGGGCCCUAUCUACACCAAUCGGACCAGGCCCAAUGGGCUUAGUGUUGCUUCAACCGAGUCCAAUUUUUAUUUAUAUAUUUAAUAAAGUGAUACUUAUCAUUCUUAUUUUUAAAUAAGUUUUUUUUUAAUAUAUAAAACUGAUUUUAUUUUAUAAUUUAUAUUUUAUAUUAAAUUUGGCUACUCAUACUUUUUUUUCGUAAGAAAAAUGUGUGUGCUGAUAACUUAGCUAAUUUAGGAUUUAUUUAUAGAGAAUCAUUUUAUUGGUAUAAUUUAUUUUCAUCAAAUCUGUUCUUAAAAUUCUUUAUAUUCUUUAUUAAUAGGUAUAAUCUACAUAUCUAUCGUUUUUGUUAACAUAUUGGUUUUGGUCUAGUCUCUCCAUAUUUUUGUAUUUUUUUUUUAAUAAUACUUUUUUUUAUGUGAUGACAAAUUCAUAGUAAGCAUUUUAUAUAAAAAAUAAUAAUAAUGUGCUUAAGAAUGUCUAUUAUGAUUGAAGAUUAUGUUUUCUGAUCACAAGUCCAACACAGCGGAAUGGAAGAGAGAUCCAUAAUCUGUUAUUAGCAAGUUUUGUCGUAUCUUGUAUUGAAAUCACGACCCAUCUAAAUAAAACGUUUACAUCAUUGUUUCUAGUGAUGAUUAAUUUCAGUGUCACAAUGAAGUCAAAAAUAUAACACAUCGAAUUAAAUUAUAUAUAUAUACAUAUAUAAUUUAUUGGAUAAGUUUAUUUUUAAGUUAAAAUUAAUAAAAAAAAACAUAUGAACAAGAACCAAUAUAUUUUUUAAUUCAUUUUAUUCUUAUUUCUUUUAAUUUCUCUUUAUAAUUAACAUUUUCCGCAAGUAAUAUAUGAAUCAUGUUUAAAUAAGAUUAUAACUGAAUUCUUUGGGAGAUGUUUUGCGUUUACUAACCCUAUUUAUACUUUAAUUUUAUUAACUUAUCAUGCAAUAGAUGAUCUAUGUCAAGUACCAUACAAUCCAAGACACUACAUUACAUUACAUUAUCUACUCUCAAACUCUUUUAUUUAAUUAAAAAUAACAACAACAAGUUUACACGAUUAAACAUUGAAAUGAUAAUCAAACAUUUUCACAUGACAAAUCAUAAACAACAAAUAUAAAAUUUUUAAAAAAUAUAAAUGAUCAAAUGUGAGUCCUAUCAAUAGUUUAAUUUAAUAUAAUUGAAGUUUAUAUUUUCUAAAAUACAAUACAAUGAUUAAAUAUGAAAAAAAAAAUAUGAUUGAGAUUGUGAUGAGAGAGUAAGUGUAUUGAAAUCUAAGUAAACUUAGUCGAUAUAUAAUUAAUUGAAUAAUUGAAAAAAAUGGAAAAUUGUUUAGAAAAAAAAGGAUAAAAUGAAAAACAAUAAAGAUAACAUUAAAAAUAAGCUUUUUAAGUUAGAAACAAACUAAAUGAUUUAAAACAAAACGGGUAUAAGAACAAGGAUUAAAUAUACAUCCUCAUCCAUAUUUACUAUAUAUUUAAAAAAUUUGACAUUACUCAUAUCUUGUUAAAGCGGUUUUUUUUUAGAAUCAAGACAAAUUUAUAACCACAAAAACAAGUUUUUUUUUUUUUUAAUUUCUACUUUCAACUAAGAGUUCGGUUGAAAAAAAAAAUCAUGAAAUAUCCCUUUUUUUUCAUUAAGAUUUAUGUAAUAUGUUUAGAAAAAAAAGGUAUAUAUAUAUAUAUAUAAUUUUGAUAAUUAUUUAAUUUGUUAUUAGAAUGUUUCCAUCACGUCAACACAUGAUAAUUUACUUUUACUUGUGAAAUGGAUAGCCUUAACUCCGUAUAGGAUCAAUUAUUCCAUAUUUAAAGUAAUAUCAUCAUAUUUGAACCUUUGACUCCUUUAUCAUUUGCUUAAAAGAUUCAAGUCUUGCUAAUUUAUCAACAACUUUAAUAAAUGUUUACACUUUGAAUCGUCUUGUUGAAUGUUAAAAUUAUAAAUUCCAUAUAGAUUGAUAAUUUACAAUUAAUAACUUCAUCAAUUUGAUGAUUGCUGUAUCUUUCUUUAUUCACCUUGGUAAGUUAAGUUUAAUGUUUAUUUAUUGAAUUUACUUUUUAUAUUAUUAAUAAAAAUAAUGUUAUAUAAAAAGAAGUUAUAUGAGAUACCCUGAUCCACGUAUAACUUACUCGGUUUUCCAUUCUUUAAUCACUUAACCAAACCAUGUUACUAGUUUUUACUAUUUUUCUUACAUUUAUUAAAAUAUUGAAUACUUCUAAGAUAUCAAAUAUAUUUUUGUAGUGAAAGUGAAGUUCAAGAAUAAAAACUAACCAAUCUUGGUCGGUUUAAGAAUAUUUGCUUAUUAUUUUUUAUAAAAUAUUAACAAAUUUAUUUAUAGGUCCAAGAAAUAACGAGAUGAAAGAAAAUAGAGCUUCUUAUCUAAAAAUUUGUAAGGCCGUAUCUUAAAUUCUAACCUUUAUUUUACUGAUUCUCAUCUUUCUUUCAUAAAAAACUGUGUCGGUAGGAAAUGACACAUGAAUCAUGAUACUUUUCUCCUCCAUAAAAAAAAACAUCUAAUUAUGAUUGAAAAAACCAACGGUAAAGUAUGGAAAAAUUUGUGUCGGUCCAACCAAGACUCAUCAAACUAAAAAAUUAUUUUAGUCAUUUUUUAAUAAAUAAAAUAUACUAAAACAUAAUUAUAAAUUAAUUUGGUCUAAAAUUCAUUUAAACUUCAGAUUAAACAGGUCCUACUAAAAUUUAUCUACUUUAAUUUAAAUUACUAUUUUCAAAUAUAAUCCGUUCUAUUAUGGAUUAUUCAAAUCGAUCCUUUGAGUUAGAUUUUUUUUUACCAAUUUUACUACUAGUUAAAUUAAUAAAUAAUAAUAGAAUCUAAAAAUAGCACUUUUUCGGACGGUACAAACCAGAGCUCACUCAAGGCUUAUCCACUACUUGCAAGUUUGGAAAAUGAUACUGAUGAUUACCCGUUUCCUCCAUAGAAUGGGAAUGGAAUUAGUUAGCUUUUCUUUCGAGAGGCCCUCGUAAACAUCUCUCUAAUGUUGUGUGAUUCUGUCUCCAAUUUUACCUUCUUCCUUGUCUACCUUUCUU